GGUGGCUCAGUGUUAGAGCGCUUGCCUUGCAUGCAUAAGGCCCUGGGUUCAAUUCCUCAGCACCA
rnacentral:tRNA from 1 species